rnacentral:rRNA from 1 species
UACAGAGGUCUCAAGCGUUGUUCGGAUUCAUUGGGCGUAAAGGGUGCGUAGGCGGUUGGGUAAGUCUGACGUGAAAUCUCCGGGCCUAACCCGGAAACUGCGUUGGAUACUAUCCGGCUAGAGGAAUGGAGGGGAGACUGGAAUACUUGGUGUAGCAGUGAAGUGCGUAGAUAUCAAGUGGAACACCAGUGGCGAAGGCGAGUCUCUGGACAUUUCCUGACGCUGAGGCACGAAAGCCAGGGGAGCAAACGGG